rnacentral:lncRNA from 1 species
AUUUUGGAAGAGGAACUGCUGCCACCAAUUACAAGAAAACAACCCGGCAGACCACCAAGUAACGACCGUAAGAAGGGAUUCAACAAAAGAAAAAUACAAGAGGAGUAAAGUAACUUGUAGUAAAUGUGGUACAUCAGGACAUAACAAAAAGACUUGCCCUAAGUUUGCUUAUCAAACUUAACAAUGAUGUAUUAUUUUGCAAUUUUCUUGGUUGGUUUUUCUUUAUUCUUCUUCCAAAACUUCUGAAAUUUUUUAAGAAUGAUA